rnacentral:misc_RNA from 1 species
GAUGAAGAACGUAGCGAAAUGCGAUAAGUAAUGUGAAUUGCAGAAUUCAGUGAAUCAUCGAAUCUUUGAACGCACAUUGCGCCCGCCAGUAUUCUGGCGGGCAUGCCUGUUCGAGCGUCAUUACAACCCUCAGGCCCCCGGGCCUGGCGUUGGGGAUCGGCGGAAGCCCCCUGCGGGCACAACGCCGUCCCCCAAAUACAGUGGCGGUCCCGCCGCAGCUUCCAUUGCGUAGUAGCUAACACCUCGCAACUGGAGAGCGGCGCGGCCACGCCGUAAAAUACCCAACUUCUGAAUGUUGACCUCGAAUCAGGUAGGAAUACCCGCUGAACUUAAGCAUAUCAAUAAGCGGAGGA